AGAUGGUCAGUCAGAGAGGACUAUUCAGACUUUGGAGGAUAUGCUCAGAGCUUGUGUUUUAGAUUGGGAAGGUAGUUGGGUGAAGUAUCUACCUCUAGCCGAGUUUGCCUACAACAACAGCUAUCAUUCGAGUAUUGGGAUGGCACCAUAUGAGGCUCUAUAUGGUAGACCUUGUCGCACACCACUUUGUUGGACGGAAGUGGGAGAGCGACGUGAGAUAGAACCAGCCAUGGUUCAAGAGACAGUCGAGCAGGUUGAGAUGCUCAAGAUGCGGCUUAAGGAAGCCCAUGACCGUCAAAAGAGUUAUGCAGAUAAGCGGCGAAAAAACUUGGAGUUUCAGGUUGGCGACCUGGUAUACCUGAAAAUGAGGACAUUUCAGGGAGGAUCUAAGACUCGGAAGCUAAAGAAGCUUAAACCGAGAUAUAUGGGACCAUAUCCUAUAUUGGAGCGGAUCGGAGCAGUUGCUUACCGAUUGGAUUUAUCAGGAGAGUUAUCAGAUUUCCAUGAUGUGUUUCAUGUUUCCGUGUUGAGGAAAGUAGUGAGAGAGCCGGAGCUCAUUUUGCAGCAGCCACCUAGAGACCUUGGCAAAGGUUUAUGUGGGUUGUGCCAGCCAGUAGAGAUAUUGGAUCGCCAAGUGAAAGCAGAUCGUGGAAUGAUGACCAUGUUGGUCAAGGUUCGUUGGAAGAGAGACGGGAUUCAGGAGGAUACCUGGGAAUCCGAGCCCCAAAUGAGGAUUGAUUAUCCAGAGCUGUUUCGGGGUGUCAUUGGAGAGUUUGGUGACUCGAAUUCGGGGUCGAAUUCUUUAUUAGUGGGGGAGAGUUGUCAUGACCCAAACCCAGGCCCAUCUGACAUUCAGCGAGGCCCAAAUUCACUCCAAAAAGCCCAAGUGAGUGGGUCGCCGGAGCUCGUCGCCGGAGCAACCGUGUGCCGUGAUCACGUUCAGCUCGUCACCCCCGAUCAACACCCUAGACCACCAUCGUGUUCCUCUCGUCGAGACGAAGCCGUAGACACCAACCACACCGCAAUCGGAGCCCGGACGAAGCCGCUAGAGCCUCCCGAAGUUUCGCCUCUGCGCGGGCGUGAAACGCACGCGCCGUCGCCGGCCGCCGGAGCCACCGCGCAUUCCGGCCACUCGCCGCCGUCUCCGACCGCCGUUCGCCGGAGCCGCCGUGAUCGGCCGCCGUCCGUCCGCCGCCGAGAAGCUGCCGCCGCGUCGCCGCCGCUGAUUUUCCGGUAAGCCGCCGCCACCCUCCGCCGCGUCGCCGCCUCGCCGCCGUCGCCACCGCUGAUUUUCCGAUUUAGAGUCUAUUUGAGCAGCUGGAGUUCAUAGAUACCACAUUUCCUUAUUGCUAAGGUGAGGGGCUAUUCCCGAACUCCUCUUACACGGCUUAGGACUUCGAAUAAGUAUAACUUAUUUCUAAUAUGUUCCGUCUGCUUGAAAUCGAGUCUGUCAUUGCUUGUUUAGUUAUUAGGUUCUUUGCUUAAACCGGAAUUAGGGUGUUAGAGGAUUCAACAUUGAUUGCUUCGCUUAAUGUAAAUUCUUAGUUAGAAUUGUUUUGCCGGAUACAGAGACGGACUUCUGUAUGCCGGAUUGUAUGAGAGGCUACGGCCAGUCAGUCGACCGGCUGGACCGUAGUCUGGUGUGGUCGAUAAAUCGUCUGAGGGCGGUGACACCGAGCACUCUCUCGGAAGUGUUAUGUUUUGGCCUGUUAGUGGGCGGCGAGAGCGCGCCUCGCUAGGAUCAUUGUUUGUUGCUUGGGUACUUUAGGUGCCGUGUUUGACAUGUAUUAGAAUUAAAUUAUAUUUAUUCAAAGUGUUAUGUCUGGGUCAAUGGACUUCGGGGUAGCAUCCCCCAUACCUCAUUGGGCGAUUCACCUAUCGCUCACCCCUCACUCUUCCCCCUUUCAGGUGAGACCGACGAGCAGGAGUGAUUAUCGGACCGGUGCUAUUGGGCUUUUGGGCUUCUAUCGCUUUUACCGCUUUUAUCUUUAUCGGGCCUUUGGACUUUUAUCGUUUAUGUUAUUUCCUAUUUCAGACUUUCGGUUUAUGUCGUAUUUUAUAUUUCGGAUGUUAUCGAUGUUGGGCUUUUAGGCCUUAUGGUAUCGUAUUGACUUUUAUAUUAUGAUAUGAAGAUUAUUAUUA